rnacentral:rRNA from 1 species
UGGGGAAUUUUGGACAAUGGGCGCAAGCCUGAUCCAGCAAUGCCGCGUGCAGGAUGAAGGCCUUCGGGUUGUAAACUGCUUUUGUACGGAACGAAAAAGCUCUCUCUAAUACAGGGGGUGAAUGACGGUACCGUAUGAAUAAGCACCGGCUAACUACGUGCCAGCAGCCGCGGUAAUACGUAGGGUGCAAGCGUUAAUCGGAAUUACUGGGCGUAAAGGGUGCGCAGGCGGUCUUGCAAGUCAGAUGUGAAAGCCCCGGGCUUAACCUGGGAAUUGCGUUUGAAACUACAAGACUAGAGUGCAGCAGAGGGGAGUGGAAUUCCAUGUGUAGCAGUGAAAUGCGUAGAGAUGUGGAAGAACACCGAUGUCGAAGGCAGCUCCCUGGGUUGACACUGACGCUCAUGCACGAAAGCGUGGGGA